UGGGGAAUCUUAGACAAUGGGCGCAAGCCUGAUCUAGCCAUGCCGCGUGUGUGAUGAAGGUCUUAGGAUCGUAAAGCACUUUCGCCAGGGAUGAUAAUGACAGUACCUGGUAAAGAAACCCCGGCUAACUCCGUGCCAGCAGCCGCGGUAAUACGGAGGGGGUUAGCGUUGUUCGGAAUUACUGGGCGUAAAGCGUACGUAGGCGGAUUGGAAAGUUGGGGGUGAAAUCCCAGGGCUCAACCCUGGAACUGCCUCCAAAACUAUCAGUCUAGAGUUCGAGAGAGGUGAGUGGAAUUCCAAGUGUAGAGGUGAAAUUCGUAGAUAUUUGGAGGAACACCAGUGGCGAAGGCGGCUCACUGGCUCGAUACUGACGCUGAGGUACGAAAGUGUGGGGAGCAAACAGGAUUAGAUACCCUGGUAGUCCACACCGUAAACGAUGAAUGCCAGUCGUCGGGCAGUAUACUGUUCGGUGACACACCUAA
rnacentral:rRNA from 1 species